rnacentral:tRNA from 1 species
GCGCGCAUAGCUCAGUUGGUAGAGCAGUGGCCUCUUAAGCCAACGGUCGUGGGUUCGAAUCCCUCUGCGCGUACGA